rnacentral:SRP_RNA from 1 species
UCGUGCUAGGUGGGGAGCUAGCGGUGCCCUGCACCCGCAUAUCCGCUAUAGCGGGACCGAACUCCUCUUCGAGGUCCUGGGCCACGGCUGUUUUCCUGGCUGAGUGGUGUUGAAGAUUGGGUCCUGCGCGGCAGGAGGCUGUGAAUCCCGUCAGGUCCGGAAGGAAGCAGCGGUAAGCAGUGACUUCUGGGUGCCGCAGGAUCGCCUGGUCGGAGCCAACUGGCCAGGGUAAAGCCGCGGUGAGGGAACGACAGGGGGUGCACGG